ensembl:miRNA
CCCCUCUACUUUAACAUGGAAGUACUUGCUGGAUGCUUGAAAAAGUAAGUGCUUCCAUGUUUUAGUUGUGGUGAAUCCU